rnacentral:lncRNA from 1 species
CAGUAUAUAUUUAUAAAGACGACAUCAAUCAUAAUAAUAGAAAGCAGUUAAGAUAGUAGUUUAAGGUGUUUAGGGAAUUGCAGUCAUCCAUAGAAUAGUGUGGAAUUGAAAACUAAAGUACUAGAGUUUCUCCUGGAAAUUACAGAGAAUUUAAAACUUUAAAUGCACUAAAGUUCUUCAAAAUAAGAUGAGUUCAGGAAAUAAAAGCUAGCAAAUCUAAGCUGCAGCACUGCCGUCCUCAUCAAGAGCUAUUGCCAAAGUAUCCUCCUCGCCAUUUGCUUCCAUCCAAGUGGAUGAUUAUCGCAAAAGGAAACACAUACAACAUAACACAAACACAACCAAGCAAGGGUGAGCUAAUUAUAUAAAAAGCAUACAUCAUGUCAAACAUAGAAUAUAGAAGAGUUAAUUUAAGUCAAACAAGAUAAAACAUCCAUCCUAACAUGUUGAAUACUAGACUCGACUCGUCCGGACUUUAGAAAUGAGAGUUGAGUUAUGGCGGGUCAUGCACCCAUGGUGACUUGUGAAACUUGGGUUCUCCAUCCUGCCACACUCAUGAGGUUAGCCUGUUCCGCGUCUUGGAGCAUACUGGAAGCCUCCAAGACUAAGAUCUCCCGCUACUCCUCACCAUAUGGUCCAAUCCUCUCUACGUGAGAAGAAAGGCUAUUGGAGUGUCAGGAAGACUCCCAAGACUAAGUUCCUACUUUCAUUCUAAAACACUAAGAAUCUCACCAAGAGAUUUUGCACUUUGAAUCACACUUACUAACUUGAACCAUAAUGUACUUUGAAACAUACCAUGAACAACCUCGAACUCCUACUUCAUCCAUUUUAUNAUCAUACACUUUNAGGUCACGAAGAUCAUCCAGGAUAUAAUACAAUGCAUUCUCAAACAUGUUUCACAAAUCAAGCAAAUCAACCAUUGAUUUAGAGAUGUUAAUUUAUAACUCAACAACAUGACUCAACAUAUGUUCCUCUCGCAUAAAAGUUUCUAGUUUAUUAUCAUCUCAACUAUAAAACUCAAUAAAGUUGCAAAACAUCAAUAUUUUAGUACAGAAACAACAGUGAAAACAACCUAAUACAUCAAAGAUGUUAAUGCAGUAACAACAAUCAAAACAGCUCAAUACAACACGAAUUUUAGUCAAAACAACAAUUAAUUUUCUGCAGCAUUUUAAUCAAAAUAGCAAAAACAGAAUGUGCAGAAUUCCGAAACAGCAACUGGUAUAGAUUUUAUAACAGCAACAACAAAGUGAGCACUUAACAUAUAAGCUGGAAUCUAACAUAACACAACCAACAUAUAAUGAUACCUUAUUUUUUUUUCUAUCCAUAACAUUAUAAAAAUACAAUAAUAUAUAUAUAUAUAUAUAUAUAUAUAUAUAUAUAUAUGUAUAUAUAUAAUAUUAUCUUAUCUUAUAUAAAUCAAUAUAAUUUCCCUUUUUAAAACAUUAUAUUUAAUAGAUAUACCAUAUCUACAGCAAACAAAAUGAUUCUGCACUUAAAUCUAAAACUAAAGGUUCUAUAUUGUUAAUCUAAAAAAAUAGCUUAUUAUUUAAAAAAAAAACUGAAACGACAAUUAAAUAAUGCCGAAAUCACUUUAAUCAAAACUAAAAUAUUCUAUAUUCUUAAUAUUGAAAAGAUAGAAUAUUAAUCAAAGAAAAUUGAAACUGAAAGAAGCUUCGUAUAAAAGAAAUAAAGGUCAUAUAUUUUCUUUGAAAGGUAUAAAAAUUUACAUUAUUAUAAGAUCAAACUCGUGAUUUGAGGGUCCCGCAAUUUAUUGUUUGAGAACAAGAAAAAUUGUUUGGAGGCAUUACAGUAGAUGCAAUGGCAAUAAAAAAAAAAGAAAGCUUUGCAUCUCAUUCUUUAAAAAGUUCAUAAGAAAAAAAAACUUUUAUAACCUAAUAACAAUUAAAGAAGGGUAUUUUAAUUUAGAAGAAAAACUGCACAACCACUAAUAGAAUAAAAACACCAUACGUCGCAUGUUGAAAAGAACAUGGAAUGAGACACUAAAUUCAAAAACUUCGGUACAAAUAAACAAAUAGAUUAAGUACAUCUUAUUUAUGCAUGAAUACCAUGGAUCAAACAACCUGAACAUCAUAAGUAUACAAACCAACAAUCACAAUCUCGUUCAAAUUCUCUAAACGAUGCACUCAAAAUCAUACAAAGCAAUCAGCCACAUAUUCAUCAACAUAAAACAGAAACUAAUUCACUAAAACUCAAUCAAACAAAAUAAAUCAAAUUAACUCCCCUUACCUGGAAAGCUUAACAGUAACUUGUUAAGAAUGCCCUAGGAUCGUAUCCACACCGCGUUGAUCCUACAGAACCUACAAAUCACCAAAUUGGUGAUAGAACAUAGCUCUCAGAGCUCAAAUAGACAGAGAACGGAAGGAAAAACGUACAAGGCACAUGAACCCAACAAAGUUGCAUGUCCUAGGUUUUAGAAUAGUGGAAGAGAAGGGGAAAAUUACUUACCGGAACGAAUCGAUGAAAUCGAUCGGUUCAAAGUAUAGUCCUUGACACCGCGAACGUGUAGGCACCUUCAGAUUAAAAUUUAAACGGUUCAGUGUUGAGAUCUUUUAGAGAGAAGUCAAAGCUAUGCUUAGGAAGAAAGGUUCUGUUUAGAGAGAGAAGGAGAAAAAGCAAAAAUGAAGAAUCUGAUUUUUGAAAAAGAAAGACCCCGUCUAAGGCUGAGGCACUCUAAACUUAUGGGUCUGGCUGUCCCAAUUCAUAAGGCCCAAUGGCCCUAAGCUUAUUUUCAGGUCCUUACAUUUUAUCAAUAAUUUCUUGAUUUUGUCAUAACUAAGUCAGUG